rnacentral:rRNA from 1 species
AUUGAACGCUGGCGGAAUGCUUUACACAUGCAAGUCGAGCGGCAGCGCGGGGCAACCUGGCGGCGAGCGGCGAACGGGUGAGUAAUGCAUCGGAACAUGUCCAUGUCGUGGGGGGAUAGCCCGGCGAAAGCCGGAUUAAUACCGCAUACGCUCGAGAGAGGAAAGCCGGGGACCGCAAGGCCUGGCGCGAUUGGGUUGGCCGAUGUCCGAUUAGCUAGUUGGUGAGGUAAAGGCUUACCAAGGCGAUGAUCGGUAGCUGGUCUGAGAGGAUGAUCAGCCACACUGGGACUGAGACACGGCCCAGACUCCUACGGGAGGCAGCAGUGGGGAAUUUUGGACAAUGGGGGCAACCCUGAUCCAGCCAUUCCGCGUGAGU